GCCGGUUGCAGUGGUGUGUGCCUGUAGUCCCAGCUACUUGGGAGGCUGAGGUGGGAGGAUCGCUUGAGCCCAGGAGUUCUGGGCUGCAGUGUGCUAUGCUGAUUGGGUGUCCGCACUAAGUUUGGAAUCAAUAUGGUGACCUCCUGGGAGUGGGGGACCACCAGGUUGCCUAAGGAGGGGUGAACCAGCCUGGGUCGGAAACGGAGCAGGUCAAAACUCCCAUGCUGAUCAGUAGUGGGAUGGUGCCUGUGAAUAGCCACCGCACUCCAGCCUGGGCAACAAAGCAAGACCCCGUUGCU
rnacentral:SRP_RNA from 1 species